rnacentral:rRNA from 1 species
AUUGAACGCUGGCGGCAGGCCUAACACAUGCAAGUCGAGCGGAGCGGCGGACGGGUGAGUAAUGCCUAGGAAUCUGCCUGGUAGUGGGGGAUAACGUCCGGAAACGGGCGCUAAUACGGAAACCUCACAGAAGACCCGGGGUCGGAUUAGCUAGUUGGUGGGGUAAAGGCCUACCAAGGCGACGAUCCGUAACUGGUCUGAGAGGAUGAUCAGUCAAACUGGAACUGAGACACGGUCCAGACUCCUACGGGAGGCAGCAGUGGGGAAUAUUGGACAAUGGGCGAAAGCCUGAUCCAGCCAUGCCGCGUGUGUGAAGAAGGUCUUCGGAUUGUAAAGCACUUUAAGUUGGGAGGCGUUACCAACAGAAUAAGCACCGGCUAACUUCGUGCCAGCAGCCGCGGUAAUAC